rnacentral:lncRNA from 1 species
UCUUUGGUAAGGUUGUUUUUCCUAUGUAUCCAUUAGCAUUAUGAAUUUUGCUCUUAAAAUUUGUCUUUUGCAUGUAUUUGUAUGCUGUUUUUAAUAACCAGGAAUGAGAGAAUCAAGAUGAAGAAAAUAUUUUAAAGCGGUCUCUGGAUGUUUCUGCUCUUCAGCUGCUCAUGGAGAGUUUGUAAGGCUCUUGUGAAACCACGUAGAAGCCAAACUGAUGGUGUUGUUCCACAAAGCACAGCACGGGAUCUUCUAAGGAGGUGAGAGUUUUCUUGGAAAUCCACACUGCAGGUGGCACAUGUGUGCAGGUUCCUUAGGGGAGAAAAUGAGAAGAUGGUGACACUUGCAAAGUGAUGUAAGAGUGAGUUGUACUGUGUGCGCACAAGGAGAAGGAGAGGCUCACACCAUGCUGCCUACCCCCA